rnacentral:rRNA from 1 species
UGCCGAAUCAACUAGCCCUGAAAAUGGAUGGCGCUUGAGCGAGGGACCUAUACCCAGCCGUUGCUGGCUUGUGCGUUGUCUAUCGCCUGGCCGCAACGAGUAGGAGGGUCGUGGCGGUUGCGUCGAAGGCUUUGGGCGUAGGCCCAGCUGGAGCUUCCGUCAGUGCAGAUCUCGGUGGUAGUAGCAAAUAUUUAAGUUCGAUCCUUGAAGACUGAAGUGGAGAAGGGUUCCACGUGAACAGUAGUUGAAUGUGGGUCAGUCGAUCCUAAGAUACUGGCUUAUGCCUUGUAUCAUUGAGAGGGAAAAGUUUCUUUUCUCUCGGAUAUCAAAAGGGAAUAGGGUUAAUAUUCCCUAACGCAGACACAGAGAUUGCGGCUCUUUGAGUCGCUUGCGCGGUAACGCAUUCGAACUUGGUUACGUCGCUCAGAGACCGAGCUAGAGUUCUCUUCUCUAGUUAAGGAACGGACUCCCUGGAAUCGGUUCAGCCGUAGAUAGGGACGUUGUUUCCGUAAAGCAUCGCGGUUUCUGUGAUGUCUCGUGUUCUCUGGACGGCCCUUGAAAAACCAAGGAAGGCUAUCAAUCUGUGCUGCAUCGUACCGAUAUCCGCAUCAGGUCUCCAAGGUGAACAGCCUCUA